CGGGAUGUGGCGCAGUUGGCUAGCGCGCGCCCAUGGGGUGGGUGAGGUCGCAGGUUCAAGUCCUGUCAUCCCGACCA
rnacentral:tRNA from 1 species